rnacentral:misc_RNA from 1 species
AAACAAUGUCACCCAUCUGAUCACUUUUUAUGGGCCGAAGGCAAUCCCUUAGAAAGCCGACUGUAGAACAUCUCCAUACAUCCUGCUUUCCCAAUAGGUAUAUGAUCUCUUAUUAUCCUAUAGGAGGGUGUAAAGAAGAAAAAGCCUCAAGCAACAGAUUUACUUCUCGUCAUCCGGCCACCCACUUGUUUUUCUUGAACUUUUGGUAAAUUAGCCGAAAGCUUUACCAUUUUCUCAGUUAUUGAAUCUGUUCUCGAUGAUGUUUGAUCUGAUGUACGCUUUCUCUUUCUAGAUUUUGAGGUUUUGGAUUUUUGUUUGCUGGCUUCUGGGCUACCCAAUUUAGCGCUUCGCAUCUUGGGUGAUUCCUCUCUUUGAGCUCCAUUGCAAGUAGCAUCUCUGCUAAUAGUUUUAGGCCCUAGUGUUUUAGGCAGUGGAGAUUCCAUUUUUGAAGUUUUUCUGACCAAUACAUCCAUAGAUGAUGAAUGGUUGAAGCUCCAUCGAGCAUUCUCAAACCACUUAGUAACCUGCAAAAUACUACUACUACUUCACAACAAAAGAAAUGAAACUGUAUUCACUAAACUCAAGGGGGGAGGAAAAAAAAGGUUGGAGAAAUCAAGAAUGGCACGAAUUCACAGUUGGCAACAAGAGAAUGGAUGACCUGCCGAAAAGUAAUUCCUAGCUCUUUUGCCAGACUUUCUUUUGUGGUUCGGUUGGGAUAUUGAUUUUCCCUAAAGGAUUUGUAGAGUCCCUGCAAAGCAAAAUGGCCAUCACUUGAUGUAUAUCAUCCUUGUGUAUAUCUGUAAAAACAAUCUGGAAAACUAAGGAACAAUAUAAUAUGAUUGUUAUUCUUUUUCAUCACCACCAAUGCUAGAACACUGAGCAAGGCUCAACUCAUGAUAUCCACAGUAGAUUUUAAUUUCCGUGGUUGUAACAUUCUGGGGUUCUUGUCCAGAAUGAACAAAUGCUAAACAAGUCACAAAAUCAUAUUUUCUCCAAGUUUACAAAUGUAAAUAAUUCUCUGUUAGCCAAUAAAAU